CACAAGCGGUGGAGUAUGUGGUUUAAUUCGAUGCAACGCGAAGAACCUUACCUGGUCUUGACAUCCCGGAGACCCUUAGGAAACUAGGGGUGCUUCCAUCUGGAAGAAUCUGGAGACAGGUGCUGCAUGGCUGUCGUCAGCUCGUGUCGUGAGAUGUUGGGUUAAGUCCCGCAACGAGCGCAACCCUUGCCUUUAGUUGCCAGCAGUUCGGCUGGGCACUCUAAAGGGACUGCCGGUGUUAAACCGGAGGAAGGUGGGGAUGACGCCAAGUCCUCAUGGCCUUUAUGACCAGGGCUACACACGUACUACAAUGGCCGAUACAAAGGGCAGCGACACUGCGAGGUGAAGCCAAUCCCGUAAAAUCGGUCUCAGUCCGGAUUGGAGUCUGCAACUCGACUCCAUGAAGUUGGAAUCGCUAGUAAUCGUGGAUCAGCAUGCCACGGUGAAUACGUUCCCGGGCCUC
rnacentral:rRNA from 1 species